UGGGGAAUCUUGGACAAUGGGGGCAACCCUGAUCCAGCCAUGCCGCGUGAGUGAUGAAGGCCUUAGGGUCGUAAAGCUCUUUCGCCUGUGAAGAUAAUGACGGUAGCCGGAGAAGAAGCCCCGGCUAACUCCGUGCCAGCAGCCGCGGUAAUACGGAGGGGGCUAGCGUUGUUCGGAAUUACUGGGCGUAAAGCGCGCGUAGGCGGACUGAUCAGUCAGGGGUGAAAUCCCGGGGCUCAACCCCGGAACUGCCUUUGAUACUGUCAGUCUUGAGUCCGGAAGAGGCGAGUGGAAUACCGAGUGUAGAGGUGAAAUUCGUAGAUAUUUGGAGGAACACCAGUGGCGAAGGCGGCUCACUGGCUCGAUACUGACGCUGAGGUGCGAAAGUGUGGGGAGCAAACAGGAUUAGAUACCCUGGUAGUCCACACCGUAAAACGAUGAAUGCCAGUCGUCGGGUAGCAUGCUAUUCGGUGACACACCUAACGGAUUAAGCAUUCCGCCUGGGAGUACGGUCGCAAGAUUAAAAGCUCAAAGGAAUUGACGG
rnacentral:rRNA from 1 species